rnacentral:rRNA from 1 species
GAGCACGUAGGUGGGUUUGUAAGUCAGAUGUGAAAGCCUUCUGUUCAACGGAAGAAUUGCAUCUGAAACUGCAAGUCUUGAGUGUAGGAGGGGAGAAUGGAACUUCUGGUGGAGCGGUGAAAUGCGUAGAUAUCAGAAGGAACGCCGGCGGCGAAAGCGAUUCUCUGGCCUAUUACUGACACUCAGUGUGCGAAAGCUAGGGGAGCAAACGGGAUUAGAUACCCCGGUAGUCCUAGCCGUAAACGAUGGGCACUAAGUAGAGGGAAUUACCGAUGUUCUCUCUGCCGUAGCUAACGCAUUAAGUGCCCCGCCGGGGGAGUACGGCCGCAAGGCUAAAACUCAAAAGAAUUGACGGGGGCUCGCACAAGCGGUGGAGCAUGUGGCUUAAUUCGAUGCAACGCGAAAAACCUUACCGGGGCUUGACAUGGUAGAAGUAGGAACCCGAAAGGGUAACGAACGGCAUCCAGUCCGUAGCUAUCACAGGUGUUGCAUGGCUGUCGUCAGCUCGUGUCGUGAGACGUUGGGUUAAGUCCCCUAACGAGCGAAACCCUUGUUUUUAGUUACCAGCGGGUUAUGCCGGGUACUCUAGAAAGACUGCCGUCGUCAAGACGGAGGAAGGUGGGGAUGACGUCAAGUCAUCAUGGCCCUUAUGCCCCGGGCUGCACACGUGCUACAAUGGUCGGUACAAACGGAUGCGAAGCCGAGAGGUGAAGCGAAUCC